GACGAAGGGGGCUAGCGUUGUUCGGAAUUACUGGGCGUAAAGCGCGUGUAGGCGGUUGUUCAAGUCGGGUGUGAAAGCCUUGAGCUCAACUCAAGAAAUGCACUCGAUACUGGAUGACUUGAGGACCGGAGAGGAUAGUGGAAUUCCCAGUGUAGUGGUGAAAUACGUAGAGAUUGGGAAGAACACCAGUGGCGAAGGCGGCUAUCUGGACGGUUUCUGACGCUAAGACGCGAAAGCGUG
rnacentral:rRNA from 1 species